UCGGGAAGGGUCCGAAUAGUUCGGCAAAGCACCCCGACAGUUAAGUGCGUCCCGUAACAUUCGGAGAAACUCAGCCGAUUUUGUCUAGUCGGAUUACAAUCGUGCCUAUGUCGUGACAGAUUCUGCUGUAUCGGAUCGAAUUCCUAACAAUGUUCUGUGUAUUCGGGACGGUGUCCUGUGGAACGGGAAUGAUCUGGAGAAAUUUUUCAUUGCUGUUUUUCUGCCGAUUGAGUCCAGAUUGCAUCCAGAUCUUGUCGAUUGCGAACCGUUUUCGCCGAAACCGUUCCGAAACAGUCCCGUUAUUAAUGCUAAAUUCGUUAAUGAUACCCACGUCAGAGUCCCGACAAUUACAGAAUACAAUACGACUGAGACCAGACAAAGCCGUUUGCAAUGCGAUAGAGCGGAC
rnacentral:lncRNA from 1 species